GCCUUUGUGGUGCAGUGGUCAGCACGCUCGACGCGUAACCGAGAGAUCUGCGGUUCGAUUCCCGACGAAGGCG
rnacentral:tRNA from 1 species